rnacentral:lncRNA from 1 species
UUUAACACAAACAGGGCUGAAACACGCUCCCUUGCUUGCCACAUUGCGGGUGACGAGAAGGAGAAAAGAGCUGUGUUCCUUUGAGGAUCCCAGACCUAGGGUCUCCCUGAGCCAGGGCUGUGACACUCCCUUUGGGGUUCUAUGGUUCCUGGCAUCUUCAAGCUUCCAGGCGCCACCACCUUCGUUCCCUUCAUCCAAACAGGUGCCCACAGCAGAAUCCACAUGCCGUCCAUCUGGUCCAGCCUCACGCAGAGCCACAACUGUGCUGGCGCCUGGAGCUGCCAGCCCCACUGCAGCAGCCGGACUGACAUUCAGACGUGGAGCAAGUUGGACUGCAUAGGGACCCACCAGUGAGAUGGACGCUGUCUGUAAACGG